AUUUUUGUUUAUUUACUUUCUAUGAUUCUUAUAUUUUGUAUUUUUAUUAAAAAUCGAUUACAGCAAACCAUCAAUAAUAAAACAAUAUACCAAAACUAAAGAAAUAAAAGCAAAGAAAAUAAAAUAAAAACAAAAAAAGUCCAAUAAAAAUGGGAAAGGAAAUGUAACGAGGAAAUUGAUCUCCACCCUUCUAAAGCUGCUUUAAAGGUCCUCCACUGCACCACAAACAGCUUCCUCAGAAAGUUGUUCAUUUAUCUGUGCACGUGCCUCUUUGUCCCACUCCUUUUGUUACUUUAUUCCCUUAUGUUCUCUUUCCGAAAUUGGAUUUUUCUUCUCUUUUUUUCUGUUCCCUUAUGCUCUCUUCCCGAAGUUCAAUUCUCUUCCCCU
rnacentral:lncRNA from 1 species